rnacentral:misc_RNA from 1 species
GCCUAAUCGAAAAUUAUGAAGACAAAGUGCUCUUCCCUACAGUUCUUCUCCACCGAGAAUUGCGGGCCGUCCGGUUCCCUUCUUUCCCCUCACUCUAGCAAUCGUACAAUUCACAGGUUGAGGUAUUAAGCACAUGGAGUCUGCAAGGUGUUGGUUUAACAAAUUGAAGUCAAAAGAUAAGUUGAAGUCUGCAAAAAAGGAAGCCACAUGCAAUAAAGCACCUACAAGUGAAGAAGCACCAUC